rnacentral:lncRNA from 1 species
UAGUGGGUUUGUGUUUAGCUAUUUUGGUCUGUAAUUGGGUAGUUGGGUUAAUAAUUAGGUUGUGAUAUUGGGGCUUAGAGGGUCUGAUGUAUUUUUGGUUUGUAAUAUGGACUAAUGGACUUUUAAUAAUUUUUGUUUUUAUUUAUAUUUUUGUUUAUUUAUUUAUUUCUGAUUUGGGCUGGGCAAAUUUGGGUUAUUACAGCUGCCCCUCUUUGCUCAUUGUCGUGUAACGAGGAUGGAGCAAAGACUUUAAUAAGGCCAAAUUUGCCUGGCCAUGCA